rnacentral:rRNA from 1 species
AUUGAACGCUGGCGGCAUGCUUUACACAUGCAAGUCGAACGGCAGCACGGGCUUCGGCCUGGUGGCGAGUGGCGAACGGGUGAGUAAUAUAUCGGAACGUACCCAGAAGUGGGGGAUAACGUAGCGAAAGUUACGCUAAUACCGCAUACGAUCUAUGGAUGAAAGCAGGGGACCGCAAGGCCUUGUGCUCCUGGAGCGGCCGAUAUCUGAUUAGCUAGUUGGUGAGGUAAAGGCUCACCAAGGCGACGAUCAGUAGCUGGUCUGAGAGGACGACCAGCCACACUGGAACUGAGACACGGUCCAGACUCCUACGGGAGGCAGCAGUGGGGAAUUUUGGACAAUGGGCGCAAGCCUGAUCCAGCAAUGCCGCGUGAGUGAAGAAGGCCUUCGGGUUGUAAAGCUCUUUUGUCAGGGAAGAAACGGUAGAGGCUAAUAUCCUUUGCUAAUGACGGUACCAGAAGAAUAAGCACCGGCUAACUACGUG